rnacentral:lncRNA from 1 species
AUGUAUUUAUGCCAUAUCAUAUGUUUUGAUAGAGUUUUAAAAAGGGGCUUAAAGAGGGUUAGGUGGUUACCUGAAGAAGGCGCGAGUUCAAGUGAAACCGUAUUUGCUGAUAUGGGUAGAUUAUUCCAAAAGACCUGUCUUUUCAGAUUAUGUUACUUAUUUCAGUUUUGGUCUACUGAGGGCCUUGUUCCAGUUUCAGACAGUUGUCAGAUUUUCAUUUAG